rnacentral:rRNA from 1 species
CAGCAGCCGCGGGAAUACGGGGGGGGCUAGCGUUGUUCGGAAUUACUGGGCGUAAAGCGCACGUAGGCGGCUUGGUAAGUUAGAGGUGAAAGCCCGGAGCUCAACUCCGGAAUUGCCUUUAAGACUGCCGAGCUAGUAGGUGAGAGAGGUAAGUGGAAUUCCGAGUGUAGAGGUGAAAUUCGUAGAUAUCGGGAGGAACAUCAGUGGCGAAGGCGGCCAUCUGGGACAACACUGACGCUGAGGCACGAAAGCGUGGGGAGCAAACAGGAUUAGAUACCCCGGUAGUCCCUGUCUCUUAUAC